GCCCUGCCCCAAGGGGACCUUCAGCGGGCGCGGGGGGCUGGUGAACGCUUCUCAGUGCCGUCUCUGUGAUCCAGGCUCCUUCUGUUCUCAGACGGGGCUUUCAGCGGUCUCUGGGCCCUGCCUGCCAGGUUUCUAUUGUCUGGAGGGAUCGCACAGUGCUACGCCAACCUUAGGAAGGGUGGGAGGUCUGUGCCCGAUGGGUCACUAUUGUCCCCUGGCCACCAGCGUGCCAGCAGCGUGCCCUCCUGGAACCUACCUGGACGCCACCGGAGGGAGGGAGAUGCAGGAGUGCAAGCCGUGCCAGCGUGGCUGGUACCAGGAUUCGUCUGGGCAGAAGGAAUGCAAGCCCUGUCCCCCUGGGUUCCUCUGCCACAACCCGAGAGCCAACCUGACCAGGGCCAGCCCCAGGGGAGCCGCCAGCCCCCAGCCCUGCCCGGCGGGCCACACAUGUCCUGGGGACCGCCCCGACGGCCAGUCCCGCCCCUGCCCUGCCGGAACAUACAGCCCCAGCCAGGGUCUUACCGCCACCGGAGAGUGCCUGGCGUGCCCAGCCGGCCUGUUCUGCGGGGCCGAGGGUCUGGUGGAGCCGUCCGGGCCUUGUUCCGACGGGUUCCUCUGCCUGCUGGGGGCCACGGUACCCAACCCCAGAGACCACAGGACGGGCUCUCCCUGUCCCCCGGGGAUGUUCUGCCGGAGGGGCUCCAUCGCAGGGGAGUGCAGGGCCGGGUACCACUGCGAUGGGGGCUCCGUGAGGGCCGACCGGGCCCUCUGUCCUGCUGGUUCCUUCUGCCCCAGGGGGGCGGCCGCCCCCCUGCCCUGUCCUGCAGGUACCUUCAGCGUUGCACGAGGCAACACCCACCAGGACAACUGCUCCACCUGUCCCGCUGGGCAUCACUGCCAAGGUGAGGGCACAGUGCAGCCUGUGCCCUGUCCACGGGGCCACUAUUGCCCUGCAGGGCUGGUGCUGGGGUUGGAGUUCCCCUGUCCUCCAGGAACGGUGCAGAACCAGCCAGGAGCCUCCAGCCCGGGCGCCUGCCUGCCAUGCCCUCCCGGAACGUUCUGCAUGCUGCCGGGCCUGUCCCAGCCCUCGGGACUCUGCCAGGCGGGAUACGUGUGUCCUGCCGGAUCCACCAGCCCCAAUUUAACCAACGUGCAGCAGGGGAACUCCAGCAGCAUCCAUCUCUGUCCGCCUGGUCAUUACUGUCUCGCCGGAUCGGGCUCUCCGCUGCCCUGCCCAGCGGGCACCCUCUCCUCGUCCCCGGGGCAGAGAGGGGUCGAGGGAUGUGCGCCCUGUCCGCCGGGACUGUUCUGCGACAGGCCCGCACUGGCAGAGCCGUCGGGAGCUCAGCCAUGCCAUGCCGGUUAUGUAUGCAACGGCGGAAGCUCCAGCCCAAAGCCCACGGACGGUCACCGUGGAUACCUGUGUCCGCCCGGCCACAGCUGUCCGGCUGGCAGUGCUACGGAGAGUCCUUGUGAGGCCGGGAGCUACAGUCCUUCUGCCGGGAGGGACCGCUGCCUCCUGUGCCUCAAUGGGACAGCCUGCCCCUCCGUGGCCACCGUGGAACCCUCAGUCUGCCCCCCAGGUCACUUCUGUCCGGCCGGGACAGUCCUGCCCCUGGCCUGCCCGGCGGGGACCCUCAGUGGGCAGACAGGGGCCGGUUCGGCUGCCGUGUGUGUGGCGUGUCCCCCCGGAGCCUACUGCAGCUUCCCCGGGGCCUCGGCCCCCGACGGCCCCUGUCAGCAGGGUUUCUUCUGCCACAGUGGCUCCGUGCAUCCAGCGCCCCGGAGCACUGAGUCUUUCCCCAGGAACGGGCC
ensembl:lncRNA